UACGUAGGUGACCAGCGUUGUCCGGAUUUACUGGGCGUAAAGAGCGCGCAGGCGGUCGUUCAAGUCGAGUGUGAAAGCCCCCGGCUCAACUGGGGAGGGUCACUCGAUACUGAUCGACUUGAAGGCAGGAGAGGGAAGCGGAAUUCCCGGUGUAGUGGUGAAAUGCGUAGAUAUUGGGAGGAACACCAGUGGCGAAGGCGG
rnacentral:rRNA from 1 species